UGGAAAGCUGACAGGAUAUUAUCGCGUGUUCGCGAGCGCGCGCGCGUGUGUUUGGUAGUAGUGUGGAUAGUGCAGCAAAAUGUUAGGAAAAGUUUUGACUUCGCUGCUUCUUCUCGCUGUCUUCUUCUAUGAACCCGCUGAGGCGCAGAAGAAGAAAGAGACUCUGCUGUCAGAGAAGGUGACGCAGAUGAUGGAGUGGGCCUCCAAACGGUCAGUCAUCAAAAUGAAUGGAGAUAAGUUUCGUCGUUUUGUCAAGGCUCCCCCUAGAAACUACUCAGUGGUCAUCAUGUUUACAGCACUGCAGCCACAGAGACAAUGUGGAGUGUGCAGGCAAGCUGACGAAGAGUUCCAGGUGUUGGCUAACUCCUGGCGUUUUUCUUCUGCCUUUACCAAUAAAGUCUUUUUUGCGUCUGUUGACUUUGAUGAAGGAUCAGAUGUAUUUCAGAUGCUGAAUAUGAAUUCUGCCCCAACAUUCCUCCAUUUCCCAUCCAAAGGAAAACCUCGAAGGUCUGAUACGUAUGAGCUCCAGGUCCGAGGCUUCGCGGCUGAGCAGCUGGCUAGAUGGGUGGCAGACAGAACUGAUGUACAAAUCCGUGUCAUUCGUCCUCCCAACUAUGCAGGGCCUCUCCUGCUGGGAUUCCUUCUGGCUGUGAUUGGUGGACUUGCAUAUCUACGAAGACACAAUUUAGAGUUUCUCUUUAACACAAAUGUCUGGGCCUUCUCCGCACUGUGCUUUGUCCUGAUCAUGACUUCAGGGCAGAUGUGGAACCACAUCAGAGGACCACCUUAUGCUCACAAAAACCCCAGCACAGGACAAGUUAGUUACAUCCACGGCAGCAGUCAGGCACAGUUCGUGGCGGAGACACACAUCGUCCUCCUCUUCAAUGCGGCUGUUACCAUGGGAAUAGUUCUACUGUGUGAAGCUGCUACUUCAGACAUGGAUAUUGGAAAGAGAAAGAUUAUGUGUGUUGCAGGUAUUGGUCUAGUUAUGCUGUUCUUCAGUUGGUUGCUGUCGAUCUUCCGAGCCAAGUACCAUGGAUAUCCAUACAGCUUCCUGAUGACUUAGUGCUGAUCAGCUCCUCCAGAGUCAAAGCAAGUAUAGGUCAGAGGUCAGCCGUUCUGCAGGGUGCUGUCCACAGCAUCUUUGAUGAAAAACUGUUUGCCAAGCCAUGGUUUGUCCUCUGAUCUGUUUAAUAAAAGUCAGUACAUCAUAUACAUACGGUGCCUUUUACAAAAUCACAAGUGGUUCCUUUACCAACGACAGAGCUCUGAUCGCUGCUGUGCAACAUGAACAGUCAUGUACCAAAAGGUGUCUUCUUGGUCCGAAUUUUGGCCAAAUUGUUUGUUUUUGAUUAAUUUCUAACCUGCAGGUUUCCCGCUGUGUUUUUGUCUUAAAGUACAGACAUGAGUCAGGACUGUUUAGUUCUUGUUGCUAAGACCUCAGCAGACAUUAUAGUCUGUUGUUGCUGUGACUCUUAGGAUCCAGCAGUAGUACUCUGUGUGCUAUUUGUACUAAAAAGGUUUUGUUAAAACAUCAGUUUAGCCCGUUUCUUUUUUAUAUACAAAUACUUCCCUCCUUUAGUAAUACUCUGCUUGAUUUUUACUGAGUUUGUACACUUUUGUUGCAGUUAGGCUAACAGGAACAGAGAUCGUGUUGGAGAAAGUAGUUCUUGUUAAACUUUCCCCAUAAACUCUGAGCUCAGAAAUACUGAUACCAGGAGUCACUUUGGCAAACAGUAAAUAGAGAGUAUAGUCUUGAUUUUAAACCCACAUUUAAAUUUAAAUGUGAUAUUUAACAUUGACACUCUAUUUGCCCCAGGAACUGUUAAAGUUAGCUGUGUUUCCUGUGUUUGGGGUUAACAAACCGAGUUUUCACUAAACCUGUUUUCGGGAUCACGGCCCUCACACAUGUAAAAUAUGAUCUGUAGAAACAGAAGUUAUUUUCAUUACAUGGUUCAGUAAAAUUCAAUAAUCAGGUAAUCAUUGGUGUCUUAUUACUGUGAUCACAGCCCUUUUGUUUUUAAAUGAAAAAUGUCAGAUUGUAUGAAAAUAUGUUGGUACUUUGUUGUCAAGCUAACUGUUCACAUUUGGGAAUUCUUUCCAAAUGGGCCUUAUUUGCAGAGCAUGAUGGUAUUCAUGUGUCUUUAUGUGUGUAUACAUGAGGACUGGGAGAAGGUUGCAUUGUGUGUGUUAUGCUUUAAAUGUGUGUUGUUGCUGCGUUAUCAAGUUCAACAAAGAGGGAAUAUUUGAUCAGAGCUGACUGUUGCUGAUAUUAAAGUGUCUUAACUGAG